UUAAGCGACUAAGCGUACACGGUGGAUGCCCUGGCAGUCAGAGGCGAUGAAGGGCGUGCUAAUCUGCGAUAAGCGCCGGUAAGGUGAUAUGAACCGUUAUAACCGGCGAUUUCCGAAUGGGGAAACCCAGUGUGACUCGUCACACUAUCAUUAACUGAAUCCAUAGGUUAAUGAGGCGAACCGGGGGAACUGAAACAUCUAAGUACCCCGAGGAAAAGAAAUCAACCGAGAUUCCCCCAGUAGCGGCGAGCGAACGGGGAGGAGCCCAGAGCCUGAAUCAGCAUGUGUGUUAGUGGAAGCGUCUGGAAAGGCGCGCGAUACAGGGUGACAGCCCCGUACACAAAAGCGCAUGUGCUGUGAGCUCGAUGAGUAGGGCGGGACACGUGGUAUCCUGUCUGAAUAUGGGGGGACCAUCCUCCAAGGCUAAAUACUCCUGACUGACCGAUAGUGAACCAGUACCGUGAGGGAAAGGCGAAAAGAACCCCGGCGAGGGGAGUGAAAAAGAACCUGAAACCGUGUACGUACAAGCAGUGGGAGCCCCACCACUAAGCCAGUGGUGAACUCCACAUACGCAUCCUUUGCUGAGGAUACGGUUAACGGAGCGAAAGCGACGUUCAACCGCAAAAGAAGCAGAGGGGGCUUAGUGGUGGGGUGACUGCGUACCUUUUGUAUAAUGGGUCAGCGACUUAUAUUCUGUAGCAAGGUUAACCGAAUAGGGGAGCCGGAGGGAAACCGAGUCUUAACCGGGCGUUAAGUUGCAGGGUAUAGACCCGAAACCCGGUGAUCUAGCCAUGGGCAGGUUGAAGGUUGGGUAACACUAACUGGAGGACCGAACCGACUAAUGUUGAAAAAUUAGCGGAUGACCUGUGGCUGGGGGUGAAAGGCCAAUCAAACCGGGAGAUAGCUGGUUCUCCCCGAAAGCUAUUUAGGUAGCGCCUCGUGAAUUCAUCUCCGGGGGUAGAGCACUGUUUCGGCUAGGGGGCCAUCCCGGCUUACCAACCCGAUGCAAACUGCGAAUACCGGAGAAUGUUAUCACGGGAGACACACGGCGGGUGCUAACGUCCGUCGUGAAGAGGGAAACAACCCAGACCGCCAGCUAAGGUCCCAAAGUCAUGGUUAAGUGGGAAACGAUGUGGGAAGGCCCAGACAGCCAGGAUGUUGGCUUAGAAGCAGCCAUCAUUUAAAGAAAGCGUAAUAGCUCACUGGUCGAGUCGGCCUGCGCGGAAGAUGUAACGGGGCUAAACCAUGCACCGAAGCUGCGGCAGCGACACUCAGGUGUUGUUGGGUAGGGGAGCGUUCUGUAAGCCUGUGAAGGUGUGCUGUGAGGCAUGCUGGAGGUAUCAGAAGUGCGAAUGCUGACAUAAGUAACGAUAAAGCGGGUGAAAAGCCCGCUCGCCGGAAGACCAAGGGUUCCUGUCCAACGUUAAUCGGGGCAGGGUGAGUCGACCCCUAAGGCGAGGCCGAAAGGCGUAGUCGAUGGGAAACGGGUUAAUAUUCCCGUACUUGGUGUUACUGCGAAGGGGGGACGGAGAAGGCUAUGUUGGCCGGGCGACGGUUGUCCCGGUUUAAGCGUGUAGGUGUGUGUUCCAGGUAAAUCCGGUUCACUUUAACACUGAGGCGUGAUGACGAGGCACUACGGUGCUGAAGCAACAAAUGCCCUGCUUCCAGGAAAAGCCUCUAAGCAUCAGGUAACAUCAAAUCGUACCCCAAACCGACACAGGUGGUCAGGUAGAGAAUACCAAGGCGCUUGAGAGAACUCGGGUGAAGGAACUAGGCAAAAUGGUGCCGUAACUUCGGGAGAAGGCACGCUGACAUGUAGGUGAAGUGAUUUACUCAUGGAGCUGAAGUCAGUCGAAGAUACCAGCUGGCUGCAACUGUUUAUUAAAAACACAGCACUGUGCAAACACGAAAGUGGACGUAUACGGUGUGACGCCUGCCCGGUGCCGGAAGGUUAAUUGAUGGGGUCAGCGCAAGCGAAGCUCCUGAUCGAAGCCCCGGUAAACGGCGGCCGUAACUAUAACGGUCCUAAGGUAGCGAAAUUCCUUGUCGGGUAAGUUCCGACCUGCACGAAUGGCGUAAUGAUGGCCAGGCUGUCUCCACCCGAGACUCAGUGAAAUUGAACUCGCUGUGAAGAUGCAGUGUACCCGCGGCAAGACGGAAAGACCCCGUGAACCUUUACUAUAGCUUGACACUGAACAUUGAGCCUUGAUGUGUAGGAUAGGUGGGAGGCUUUGAAGUGUGGACGCCAGUCUGCAUGGAGCCGGCCUUGAAAUACCACCCUUUAAUGUUUGAUGUUCUAACGUGGACCCGUGAUCCGGGUUGCGGACAGUGUCUGGUGGGUAGUUUGACUGGGGCGGUCUCCUCCUAAAGAGUAACGGAGGAGCACGAAGGUUGGCUAAUCCUGGUCGGACAUCAGGAGGUUAGUGCAAUGGCAUAAGCCAGCUUGACUGCGAGCGUGACGGCGCGAGCAGGUGCGAAAGCAGGUCAUAGUGAUCCGGUGGUUCUGAAUGGAAGGGCCAUCGCUCAACGGAUAAAAGGUACUCCGGGGAUAACAGGCUGAUACCGCCCAAGAGUUCAUAUCGACGGCGGUGUUUGGCACCUCGAUGUCGGCUCAUCACAUCCUGGGGCUGAAGUAGGUCCCAAGGGUAUGGCUGUUCGCCAUUUAAAGUGGUACGCGAGCUGGGUUUAGAACGUCGUGAGACAGUUCGGUCCCUAUCUGCCGUGGGCGCUGGAGAACUGAGGGGGGCUGCUCCUAGUACGAGAGGACCGGAGUGGACGCAUCACUGGUGUUCGGGUUGUCAUGCCAAUGGCACUGCCCGGUAGCUAAAUGCGGAAGAGAUAAGUGCUGAAAGCAUCUAAGCACGAAACUUGCCCCGAGAUGAGUUCUCCCUGAGACUUUAGGUCUCCUGAAGGAACGUUGAAGACGACGACGUUGAUAGGCCGGGUGUGUAAGCGCAGCGAUGCGUUGAGCUAACCGGUACUAAUGAACCGUGAGGCUUAACCUU
rnacentral:rRNA from 1 species